GCUCCAUGUACAGUAGAGAAACCUGUUCUCCACACACCAGCCGUCUCUCCAUCUACAGACCACUCAACUGUCUCUCCAUCUACAGACCACACACCAGUUGUCUCUCCAUCUGCAGACCACUCACCAGUCGUCUCUCUAUCUGCAGGCAACACACCAUUUCUCUCCUCUACAGUGCUCCCUGAAGAGAAUAAAAGUGACUUCAGUGAAGAGGAGCUAUCGGAUGAUGUAUCUGAUCCAGAAUACGUUCCAGGCUCAGAAAGUGACACAGAGGAUGAGGAACCAAUAAACAGCUUGGCAAACCCAACAUUACAGAUGUCACAGAUGAUGAUGAUGAGAGUGAGGAGGAACAAACAUUCACAACAAACAUUCACAACAAAGCAGAGGUAGAUUGUCCUCGUGAACUGAACGACAUGGACACUCCUGAUGCAGAUGGACUCCCUCCUGUACAUAAUGUACGCAAAGACAAGACACGAAGACCAUGGACCAAAGCAGAAGAAAAAGCUGUGCUGAGACAUUUCAAGUCUCACAUAAUUAAAGGUCAUUUAGCAUCAA